rnacentral:tRNA from 1 species
GCAAUGGUAGUUCAAUGGUGAAAUGCUCACCUUCCAUACUGGAGACCUGGGUUUGAUUCCCAGCCGAUGCA